rnacentral:misc_RNA from 1 species
GAUGAAGAACGCAGCGAAAUGCGAUAAGUAAUGUGAAUUGCAGAAUUCAGUGAAUCAUCGAAUCUUUGAACGCACCUUGCGCUCUUUGGUAUUCCAAAGAGCAUGCCUGUUUGAGUGUCAUGAAAAUAUCAACCUUGACUUGGGUUUUGUGCUCUAGUCUCGGCUUGGAAUUGGGUGCUUGCCGCUUUUACGAGCGGCUCACCUUAAAUGUAUUAGCUGGAUCUGUCUUUGAGACUUGGUUUGACUUGGCGUAAUAAGUAUUUCGCUAAGGACAUUCUUCGGAGUGGCCUCGUUUCUAGGACGCUUGUCCGCUUUCCAAUACAAGUUCCACCUCGUGGACAUGACUUUUUAUUAUCUGGCCUCAAAUCAGGUAGGACUACCCGCUGAACUUAAGCAUAUCAAUAAGCGGAGGA